rnacentral:rRNA from 1 species
GACAAACGCUGGCGGCGUGCCUAAUACAUGCAAGUCGAACGACGAAAGCCUUCGGGCAAGUAAGAGUGGCGCACGGGCGAGGAACACGUAGAUAAUCUGCCCUUCAGUGGGGAAUAACUCUCCGAAAGGAGUGCUAAUACCGCAUAAAACCACAAGCUCUGCGGAGCAAGGGGUUAAAGGAUUUAUUCGCUGAAGGAUGAGUCUGCGUCCGAUUAGCUAGUUGGUGAGGUAAUGGCUUACCAAGGCAAUGAUCGGUAGAUGGUCUGAGAGGAUGAUCAUCCGCACUGGAACUGAGACACGGUCCAGAAUCCUACGGGAGGCAGAAGUAGGGAAUAUUGCACAAUGGGGGAAACCCUGAUGCAGCAACGCCGCGUGAGUGAUGAAGGCUCUAGGGUCGUAAAGCUCUGUCGUAUGGGAAGAAAAAAAUGACGGUACCAUACAAGAAAGGACCGGCCAACUUCGUGCCAGCCGCCGCCGUAA